UACAGAGGGUGCAAGCGUUGUUCGGAAUUAUUGGGCGUAAAGGGCGCGUAGGCGGUGCCACAAGUCACCUGUGAAAUCUCCGGGCUUAACUCGGAGCCUGCAGGCGAAACUGUGGUGCUGGAGUAUGGGAGAGGUGCGUGGAAUUCCCGGUGUAGCGGUGAAAUGCGCAGAUAUCAGGAGGAACACCGGUGGCGAAGGCGGGUCUCUGGGCCGAUACUGACGCUGAGGAGCGAAAGCGUGGGGAGCGAACAGG
rnacentral:rRNA from 1 species